GCCCGAAUGGUGGAAUUGGUAGACACAAGGGACUUAAAAUCCCUCGACACUUAGUGUUGUGCCGGUUCGACCCCGGCUUCGGGCA
rnacentral:tRNA from 1 species